UAAAGAUUCAUCGCUGAUAGAUAGGCAUGCGUUCCAUUAGGCAGUUGGCGGGGUAACGGCCCACCAAACCGACGAUGGAUAGGGGUUCUGAGAGGAAGGUCCCCCACAUUGGUACUGAGACACGGACCAAACUCCUACGGGAGGCAGCAGUGAGGAAUAUUGGUCAAUGGGCGUAAGCCUGAACCAGCCAAGUCGCGUGAGGGAUGAAGGUUCUAUGGAUCGUAAACCUCUUUUAUAAGGGAAUAAAGUGUGGGACGUGUCCUAUUUUGUAUGUACCUUAUGAAUAAGGAUCGGCUAACUCCGUGCCAGCAGCCGCGGUAAUACGGAGGAUCCGAGCGUUAUCCGGAUUUAUUGGGUUUAAAGGGUGCGUAGGCGGCCUUUUAAGUCAGCGGUGAAAGUCUGUGGCUCAACCAUAGAAUUGCCGUUGAAACUGGGGGGCUUGAGUAUGUUUGAGGCAGGCGGAAUGCGUGGUGUAGCGGUGAAAUGCUUAGAUAUCACGCAGAACCCCGAUUGCGAAGGCAGCCUGCCAAGCCAUGACUGACGCUGAUGCACGAAAGCGUGGGGAUCAAACAGGAUUAGGUACCCUGGUAGUCCACGCAGUAAACGAUGAUCACUAGCUGUUUGCGAUACAGUGUAA
rnacentral:rRNA from 1 species